UGGGGAAUAUUGCACAAUGGGCGGAAGCCUGAUGCAGCGACCCGCUGGGGGAUGAAGGCCUUCGGGUUGUAAACUCCUUUCGACAGGGACGAAGCUUUUGUGACGGUACCUGUAUAAGAAGCACCGGCUAACUACGUGCCAGCAGCCGCGGAAAUACGUAGGGUGCGAGCGUUGUCCGGAAUUACUGGCCGUAAAGUGCAAGUAGGUGGUUUGUCGCGUCGUCUGUGAAAUUCCGGGGCUUAACUCCGGGCGUGCAGGCGAUACGGGCUGACUUGAGUGCUGUAGGGGAGACUGGAAUUCCUGGUGUAGCGGUGAAAUGCGCAGAUAUCAGGAGGACCACCGAUGGCGAAGGCAGGUCUCUGGGCAGUAACUGACGCUGAGGAGCGAAAGCUUGGGUAGCGAACAGGAUUAGAUACCCUGGUAGUCCAUGCCGUAAACGGUGGGCGCUAGGUGUAGGGGGCUUCCACGUCUUCUGUGCCGUAGCUAACGCAUUAAGCGCCCCGCCUGGGGAGUACGGCCGCAAGCUAA
rnacentral:rRNA from 1 species